rnacentral:rRNA from 1 species
UCAAGCGAACAAGUGCAUGUGGUGGAUGCCUUGGCGAUCACAGGCGAUGAAGGACGCGGUAGCCUGCGAAAAGCUACGGGGAGCUGGCAAACGAGCUUUGAUCCGUAGAUGUCCGAAUGGGGAAACCCACUCCGAAUGGAGUAUCCAUGACUGAAUCCAUAGGUCAUGUGAAGCGAACGCGGUGAACUGAAACAUCUAAGUAACCGCAGGAAAAGAAAUCAACCGAGAUUCCCAGAGUAGUGGCGAGCGAAAUGGGACCAGCCUGUACUCUUUAUCUUCAUUGUUAGCUGAAGGCUCUGGAAAGUGCUGCCAUAGCGGGUGAUAGCCCCGUAAGCGAAAACAGCGAGGAAGAACUGGGUGUACGAGAAGUAGGGCGGGACACGUGAAAUCCUGUCUGAAGAUGGGGGGACCAUCCUCCAAGGCUAAAUACUCGUGAUCGACCGAUAGUGAACCAGUACCGUGAGGGAAAGGCGAAAAGAACCCCGGGAGGGGAGUGAAACAGAUCCUGAAACCGCAUGCAUACAAACAGUCGGAGCCUUCGCAAGGGGGUGACGGCGUACCUUUUGUAUAAUGGGUCAGCGACUUACAUUCAGUGGCAAGCUUAACCGAUUAGGGCAGGCGUAGCGAAAGCGAGUCCGAACAGGGCGUUCAGUCGCUGGGUGUAGACCCGAAACCAGGUGAUCUAUCCAUGGCCAGGAUGAAGGUGCGGUAACACGUACUGGAGGUCCGAACCCACUAACGUUGAAAAGUUAGGGGAUGAGCUGUGGAUAGGGGUGAAAGGCUAAACAAACCUGGAAAUAGCUGGUUCUCUCCGAAAACUAUUUAGGUAGUGCCUCGUGUAUCACCUUCGGGGGUAGAGCACUGUCAUGGUUGUGGGGUCCAUUGCGGAUUACUACGCCAUAGCAAACUCCGAAUACCGAAGAGUGCAAUCACGGGAGACAGACAUCGGGUGCUAACGUCCGGUGUCAAGAGGGAAACAACCCAGACCGCCAGCUAAGGUCCCCAAAUAUUGCUAAGUGGGAAACGAAGUGGGAAGGCUAAAACAGUCAGGAGGUUGGCUUAGAAGCAGCCAUCCUUUAAAGAAAGCGUAAUAGCUCACUGAUCGAGUCGUCCUGCGCGGAAGAUGUAACGGGGCUAAGCAAUAUACCGAAGCUGCGGAUGCACAGCAAUGUGCAUGGUAGGAGAGCGUUCCGUAAGCCUGCGAAGGUGCACUGGAAAGUGUGCUGGAGGUAUCGGAAGUGCGAAUGCUGACAUGAGUAGCGAUAAAGGGGGUGAAAGGCCCCCUCGCCGUAAGCCCAAGGUUUCCUACGCAACGUUCAUCGGCGUAGGGUGAGUCGGCCCCUAAGGCGAGGCAGAAAUGCGUAGCUGAUGGGAAGCAGGUUAAUAUUCCUGCACCAUUGUUAAAUGCGAUGGGGGGACGGAUCGCGGAAGGUUGUCCGGGUGUUGGAAGUCCCGGUCCUUGCAUUGGAGAAGGCGCUUAGGCAAAUCCGGGCGCGGAAUUCAAGGGUGCGAGGCCAUUCACUUCGGUGAAGAAGCAACUGGAAGUGGUUCCAAGAAAAGCCUCUAAGCUUCAGUUUAACAGGACCGUACCGCAAACCGACACAGGUGGGCGAGAUGAGUAUUCUAAGGCGCUUGAGAGAACUCGGGAGAAGGAACUCGGCAAAUUGGUACCGUAACUUCGGGAUAAGGUACGCCCCGGUAGCCUGACUGGCCUGCGCCAGAAGGGUGAAGGGGUUGCAAUAAACUGGUGGCUGCGACUGUUUAAUAAAAACACAGCACUCUGCAAACACGAAAGUGGACGUAUAGGGUGUGACGCCUGCCCGGUGCCGGAAGAUUAAAUGAUGGGGUGCAAGCUCCUGAUUGAAGUCCCGGUAAACGGCGGCCGUAACUAUAACGGUCCUAAGGUAGCGAAAUUCCUUGUCGGGUAAGUUCCGACCUGCACGAAUGGCGUAACGAUGGCCACACUGUCUCCUCCCGAGACUCAGCGAAGUUGAAGUGUUUGUGAUGAUGCAAUCUCCCCGCGGCUAGACGGAAAGACCCCAUGAACCUUUACUGUAGCUUUGCAUUGGACUUUGAACCGGUCUGUGUAGGAUAGGUGGGAGGCUGUGAAGCGUGGACGCCAGUCUGCGUGGAGCCGACCUUGAAAUACCACCCUGAUCUGUUUGAGGUUCUAACCUUGGCCCGUGAUCCGGGUCGGGGACAGUGCAUGGUAGGCAGUUUGACUGGGGCGGUCUCCUCCCAAAGUGUAACGGAGGAGUACGAAGGUACGCUAGGUACGGUCGGAAAUCGUGCUGAUAGUGCAAUGGCAUAAGCGUGCUUAACUGCGAGACCGACAAGUCGAGCAGGUGCGAAAGCAGGUCAUAGUGAUCCGGUGGUUCUGUAUGGAAGGGCCAUCGCUCAACGGAUAAAAGGUACUCUGGGGAUAACAGGCUGAUACCGCCCAAGAGUUCAUAUCGACGGCGGUGUUUGGCACCUCGAUGUCGGCUCAUCUCAUCCUGGGGCUGUAGCCGGUCCCAAGGGUAUGGCUGUUCGCCAUUUAAAGAGGUACGUGAGCUGGGUUUAAAACGUCGUGAGACAGUUUGGUCCCUAUCUGCCGUGGGCGCUGGAUAUUUGAAGGGGGCUGCUCCUAGUACGAGAGGACCGGAGUGGACGAACCUCUGGUGUACCGGUUGUCACGCCAGUGGCAUCGCCGGGUAGCUAUGUUCGGAAGAGAUAACCGCUGAAAGCAUCUAAGCGGGAAACUCGCCUUAAGAUGAGAUAUCCCCGGGGCUUCGAGCCCCUUGAAGGGUCGUUCAAGACCAGGACGUUGAUAGGUCAGGUGUGUAAGCGCAGUAAUGCGUUAAGCUAACUGAUACUAAUUGCCCGUAAGGCUUGAUCC